rnacentral:rRNA from 1 species
UACGUAGGGUGCGAGCGUUGUCCGGAAUUAUUGGGCGUAAAGAGCUCGUAGGCGGUUUGUCGCGUCGACUGUGAAAACCCGAGGCUUGACCUCGGGCCUGCAGUCGAUACGGGCAGACUAGAGUUCGGUAGGGGAGACUGGAAUUCCUGGUGUAGCGGUGAAAUGCGCAGAUAUCAGGAGGAACACCGGUGGCGAAGGCGGGUCUCUGGGCCGAUACUGACGCUGAGGAGCGAAAGCGUGGGGAGCGAACAGG